rnacentral:misc_RNA from 1 species
UCCGAGUUAACCCCGGCAGUCUCCCGCGAGUCCCCAACACCACUUGCUGGCAACACGGGACAAGGGUUGCGCUCGUUACGGGACUUAACCCAACAUUUCACAACACGAGCUGACGACAGCCAUGCAGCACCUGUAUGAAAGUCAGUACCAUCCCGUUAAGGACUGGUUUUGUUGUUCAUAUGUCAAGGGCUGGUAAGGUUUUGCGCGUUGUAUCGAAUUAAACCACAUGCUCCACCGCUUGUGCAGGCCCCCGUCAAUUCCUUUGAGUUUCAGCCUUGCGGCCGUACUCCCCAGGCGGGGUGCUUAACGCGUUAGCUGCGCCACUAAGGAUUCAAGAUCCCCAACGGCUAGUUGACAUCGUUUACGGCGUGGACUAC